AAAAACUGAGAUCUCUAGUCGAGUUAAAUUUAGAUCACUACAAAUUGAAAGAUAUUGAUUUCAUCCGGCCUCUUGACAAGCUGGAAGUACUUCGACUAACAAUAUUGCGUUAUCGAAAAAAAUUGAACCAGCGGUUUCUUUGAGAGCGACGCUUCAGGACAAGAAAUAUAUCAAAAUCCUAAGCUUAGAUGGCAGUCCAGAUUUAGUUGAAUUAAUACGACCGUUUUUAUGUGUUUCCCAAACUUGCGGACUAUUAGUCUGCAGGGAACGGGCCUGAGCACACUACGCGCGGACGACUUCGCCUUGAAUGUGGUGCACACCCUACGCUUGGACAUCAGUUACAACCCUUUGGCCUGCGACGCGGACCUGGCCUGGAUCUGUAGCGAAACCAACACCAGUGGCUCCGACUUCACCCUCCUGUGGGCCGAGAACACCUACUGCACCAAGCCGCACCUGAUCCGACUUACCGAGUUCCAAGCCCAGAAUGCUCAGGUCAUGAAUCGAGCAACUCCUCGGCCCGGUUUCAAAGACAAGUACCUCACGGACGUCAAUAUCGUCACGGCCUCUGAUAUCCUCUUCGUGUGUUUGACCCUGGUGCCUGUCGCCAUGCUCAUCUUACACAUCAUCGCCUCUCAUCGGAAUCGACAACGCUCUAUGUCCACUGUUUAUCCGAGACAAAAUAGUGGUGAUAGGUACUUAUAUUGAGCGAAUGACUGUGAUAAUCAAAAUUCGAGCGCGAAACCAGGGACGUUUUGAGGGGAGACGAGAAGGGCACCUUAUCAAAGAGGAUCUAAGAAGGGUCUGAGGGGGGUCACCAGAGACAAGAGACCUCCACCGGCCAAUCAGAAGCGCUAAACCGGACUUAAAAGCGGUCCAGACUCGUCCUAAGUAUAUUUAGGUACGGUGGAAGGACCGAAAAAAUUCAGCCCGUGGCCUCUUGGCGAUAGAGUACCUAUAUUGAGAGAGUAUGGCCACUGGGCCCCAUGGAGAGGCUUAGGACCCAAAAAUGGCGGUUCUUUGUUUUGGUUUUUGUGGAUGGGAGGGGGGUCAUUGCCAACUUUUGACGGUUACCACCAACCGUACUUGCUGCCAACCUUACUACAUCUAAGAUAAUUUUUCUCAAAAAUUGUACACGAUUAGUCUUAAAAAUAUGUAAAGAAGUCGCAAUAGUGCAUUUGAGUAAAUUUCUCGUUACGAUAAGCAAAGAAAACUACAUUUUGAGUCAUUUUGCAUUGCAUUAAUUUAAGGCGUCCGCCAUUUUUGGGUCCUAAGGGCUCCAUUCAGCCUAAGAUGGCUGAGCCAAUCAGAGGUGGUAACGCCAGUGGCCAUACUCUCUCAAUAUAGGUACUCUACUUGGCGAUAGGUGGAAACUUUUACUUUCGGCGAUUCAACAAUUCCUUAUGGACAAUUAUGAGGGAGCAACAGUCAUCACUCUUUUUUUCAGCUGUUGACCUACUUACAUGGUGGAUGAUGAGCUUCGGGUAACGUCAUGAGCCAAACAAGUUUCCCAAACUUCGGCUUGGUUGCAAAAUGAAACUGCCAACACGUUGCUAAACAUCGACCAUGUCGGCAAGUCACCAGUUUAGUGUUGAUGUACCGGAAGUAAAGGCUUCCACCAUGGUCGAGAUACGAGUGGAGGGUCUCUCAGGCCCGGUCCGGUCCCCUCACAGUCUCGCCCACAAUACGAGGGAUUGCAUCCGUCCUGAACCACGGAUGAUCCUUCAGAACACUCUCUUAAGAAAGAUGAUGAGAAAUAAAACUACACGAAAUACUUAAUCUUGAUAUCUAAUUUUGAGGGAAAAUGUAAACUGUUUUAUUUGCAUUUUAAGCAAGAAUACCGCAGCCUACCUGCAAACUGAAGAUUUUGUAAGACGCAGGAAAAUCUUCGCCAUUUUUGUGAUUUUGUUGUUAGAUUUUUAUACAUUUCAGAAGUAGGCAUUGGAGAAUUGCAGUAUUGAAUUGGAGGAUUGGAGAAUGCAGAAUUGGAGGAAAUCAAAACCAUCAGCUUGCGUAUUUUAUAUUGUAAAAUGCUGCAAAGGCGCUGAAUUGUCACAGCCUUAUGAUUUUCUAUCUCUAACGGUUUUUGACGGCCUUAGGUACGGGAUAUAAUAAUAGCUUCUGAAUAGUGCUCAUUAGUUAAGUUACAUCAUAAAAAAUGAUCACGUUCGAAUAUUUAAAUAGGGCAUUUCAUUUAUGAGUGCAGGAAACAUUCCUGUCAAAAUUGCGUGGGGUCUCAAACAUAAAAAAAGUAUUCGUAUUUUGUACUGUAGCACAAAUAUAAAUUUAUUAUCAUAAAAAAGUUAAAACUAAUGACUACAACACUCAAAAUUGAUGAGAUUUCAGAAAUAUCUUACAGGUAGGUAGUAAAAAAUUAGGUAGAUGAGAGAUAAAGUUAAACAAAGGUUAAUGUAAAAUCUUGAUAGAAUUAAUUUUGCAUUAUUGCCGGCUCUUUAUCGAUAUUAUCAUUUAUUUUUUGCAUUUAUUAUCUCUAGAGUAUAAGUGCACAAACUAACAAAGGCAUCUUAGGUUUCCACGUACCUGGAUACAGGGAUUUAAUUUUGUAGACAGAGAGAUGUGAAGAAUACAGUGUGUGUGAUAACAGAAACGUUUUACACGACGUUGUAUUGAGAUUUUCAGCUUUAUGCUGAAUUUUGGCUAAGAAACUCCAUCAUACUGAGAAACGUUUUCCUUGUUUUUCAUGAAAUGCAAAAAAAUACUGUACGUAUAAAAAAGAUUCAAAUAAUUGAGGUAUUAGAAACUUAUUUCCUAAGAAAAGAGGAACGAAUAGGAUCCUUAAUAUAGAGUUCUUGUGCAGGAAGGAGAAAGGGAAAUUUCCUCUGCCGCAUCGAGUUAGAAAGUAUGAGUAAACUCCUUUUUUUUAAAAAAAAAUUAAAUAAAUGAAAAAAAAACAGUAAACAAUUUUCUUAGAAUAAGUAAUGUUCUCGUGCGUAAAUGUACGCUCACGUGGUUUUCUACAAGAAAAUAUGCGGAACCAUCUGAGAUAAUCCAACAAUGCAUUUCAUUGUUUGACCGUAAUUGCUACAUACAUUGUUUUCGUAAAAAUAUGUUCACACGAACCCUCUCAUUCAUUGAUUGACUAAUCAAACAUAAAAUGUAUCUUUGGUUUUCAAAAGCAACAAUUCCACUGGUCCAUGCGGGAGGGGGGGGGGGGGGGAAGAAUCGAGAGUGAAUGAUGAAAUGUACAUUACAGAGACGGCACAAUUACAUAUCGACGGUGAAACUACCAAACCACGUAUCUCGUUUGCGGUGUUUAAAAAUCUACGUUCACCUUUUAUUUUUUUAAAGUAGACCAAAUGAAUAUCAUUCCUUGAAAUUUUCACAGAAUUUUUCCCGCACGAAGAGGAAAAAUCACAGAAAUUUUCAAGACUGGACGUUAAGUAGUUUUUCAUUUAAAAAAUAAAGUAUGACAGGAAGUCUGCGACGUCGCAAACCGAGAUACGUGGUUUAGUAGUUUCACCGUCGAUAUUGCGUAAAUGCAGGAAACUAUUAAUAAUUACCAGAAUAACAGGACGAAAAAUCACAAAUAUAUGGGUAGGUUACCAGAAACUGAAAGGAACUAAGUGGCAUGGACUUGAAACUGAGAAAAGUAUGCUGGGAAUGCCGAUCAUCCAUAAGGACCAGGAUGCAAACUUAAAGUCUCCUUGUGCACUAAAUUUUUUUUUUAUUAUUAUUAUUAUUAUUGGUGUCACUGGGUCCAUUACACAAUGUCACUUGGUUCGCUUUAGCUUGAAUAUACCCAUUUGUACUUGCCAAAUUUGAAAACAGGAGUUUCUGAACAUUAAAAAUUUAAUCACCGGUCAUUUCAUUUAAAAUACGGAUAAAACAAGAGACAAAAUUACAGAUGGAUAUUCAUUGGUGAAAAAAUGAUUAAUCGAAAACACAAAUGCGCUGACUAAUCCUCGGUUUUUCAUGAUGAAAAAAAAAAAAAAAAAAAAAAAAAAAAACCAUACCUAGUAUGCUGAAUAACAGCUAUGUGGGAGUUUUAAAACGUUCUCCUCAACGUGAACAUUAGUAUUUUAACACAGCUUGGUUCCGAUCAUGAUUGACAUUUUUUUAAAUGGAGGGUGUUAUCAACCUAUUAAAAAUUCGUCCUACGACCAGUGAAAAGAAAAAAAAAAGUUAAAAAGUUCAGGAGAAGCAUAAUGCCCUUGUGCCUAAAUACAUUUUCCGGUAGUUUCCUACCAGAGAGUCUCGCAGUGGUUAUUCUCGCGUCUAACGAAUCAAAACGAAUAGGACGCAAUUCCACAGAGAGACCAUCAAACUUAAUAAUAACGAUUUGGGACAUCCCAGCGAUUUACAAGAACCAGUGCCAUGAUAAUAAGACGUGCACGUCCAAAAUGGUAGCUGCCUUAAAACCAACUUUUUAAAUCUCUAAAAAGAAAAAAUAAAUGGCCCAAGUAGCAAAAUAGAAUUUUUUCUAGAAAAAAAAUAUUAAAAAAUUUCUAGAAAAAACAAAGAAAAUGAGAGUUAUCCAUUAAAUAGAAAGAAAAACAUUGCGAGUCAAAAGUCUGACUAAAGAAAAUAGAUCUAUUUCAUAGGUCUACUUUCUGUCCAACUUCUCAUUAGGAAAAAAGAUAGAAAAUUUAUUGGAAGUAGAAUUAUUUCUAGCCAAUUUCUUAAUGUUUUCUUUUAAGAAAAUGCAAGGAAAAAAUGUAUUUUCUUUCUAUUUUCUUGUGUCUAUUUUCUAGAUCUACUUUAUACCUAUUUUCUUUCAAGAAAAUUGUUCUAUCUAGAAAGAAGACAUUUCCUUGAUGAGCGCCACCUAGAAAGUAGAUGACAAUGCUACUUGGGGGGCUACCGGUCACUUUCACGCCAGGGGCGUAUUCAGCAAUUUGGCAACAACGGAUUCCCUCUAUUUAAACCUAUGUUAAAUAAUCGAUUCUUGGAGGGACCAGGUGCCCCUCCAAGAAUCGAUACAUAUCCAUAGGUUUAAAUGGAGAAAAACAGUGUUGCCAAUUUGCUGGUUCCGCCAAUGUUUCACGCUUAUCGAACCGUGGACCGGUCGGAAUUCGCAAGGAAAAGACAGACAAACAAGGUAAUGGCCGACAAAAAAA
rnacentral:lncRNA from 1 species